AGAAUUUUAAGAGUGUGCUGCUCUGUAUGCCUGGCCCAACCACUAAUCUGUUCAACUCCAGGGAAGUCACUCCCCCUCCUGGGAAUGGAGAAUGUGCUUCAAUUAAAUAAUCUCUGGGGCCUUUGCCUGUGACUACUUUCUCUGUUAAGGAAUCCAAAAAUGGCAGAACAAGAAAGACUUUUAGAUAAAUUAAAAAAAAAAAAAAUUUUAAAGCAUAGAUUUGUAAAUGGAAGGCCAGAAUGGAAAACCGGAAAAUCACAAAGGGACUUAUGCUAAGAAAUGGAUGGUGGGAAAAAAAAAAAUCAAAGGGAACAGCCUUCUGAAAAGAUGGCUUUCGAUGAAUUCUCAGCCAAGUCAGUGAUCCC
rnacentral:lncRNA from 1 species